rnacentral:rRNA from 1 species
CCUACGGGUGGCAGCAGUGGGGAAUAUUGGGCAAUGGGCGCAAGUCUUACCCAGCAAUGCCGCGUGAAUGAAGAAGGCCCUCGGGUUGUAAAGUUCUUUUAUUGGGGACGAAGAAAGUGACGGUACCCAAUGAAUAAGCCACGGCUAACUACGUGCCAGCAGCCGCGGUAAUACGUAGGGGGCAAGCGUUAUUCGGAAUGACUGGGCGUAAAGGGGGUGUAGGCGGGGUAGCAAGUUAGAAGUGAAAUACCUAGAGCUUAACUCAGGUGCUGCUUUUAAAACUGCUAUACUUGAGUGCAGGAGAGGAAGGUGGAAUUCCUAGUGUAGCGGUGGAAUGCGUAGAUAUUAGGAGGAACAUCAGUGGCGAAGGCGAUUUUCUGGACUGUAACUGACGCUGAGGCACGAAAGUGUGGGGAGCAAACAGGAUUAGAUACCCGGGUAGUC